UUCCAGCUGCGCUCCACACCUACUGGAAAGAGACCUUGACACUCUCUCAGCAGAAGCAGGCAUUCCAUUGGCACUGCAGCAAGCAUAGAAACUCAUAAUUUGAAAAGUGGAAGUGAUCUCCCCAAGGUCCAAAUGCUCACUUGGCUGCCAUGCGGAGGGCACUCUCUGCAUCAUGGAUGUUCUCCUCCAGUCGACGCUUGUCCUGCUCCAGCUGGGUAAGAUGUCUAUUGAGCUGACGCAGAGAUUGAUCUUUUCUUCUCAGCUCCAUCUUUGCCUCGGAGAGACUCUG